AAGACUUUGGAUGAAAAGGCAGAACGUUUGUCUCCUCAUCUUAUAAAAGAAUCUUCUCUCUUUUGAAUCAGUGAGAGGAUUUUAAUCACUGAAGAUCUUCAAAACAGCCAAGUCCUGCCUGGACCACUGCUCAACUAACUAACCAGUAAUUCAUCAGCUGAGUGAACCAUGAAGAUCACGGUAGCUGCCCUGCUGCUGCUCUCUGCUCUUGGACUCUCUCAAGCGCUGAGCUUCCGUCAGAAACACGUCAUCCGUCGAUUGGAUACUAAUGAGUGUGAUAAUAGAAUGGUACGGAUCAAUAAUGACUGUCAAAAGUGCAAGCCUGUAAAUACCUUUAUCCUUGAAGAAAAUAAUAAUAUAGCAAACGUCUGCCGGUGCAUAAGAUGGGGCGUUGGUUAUCUUCAAAACCCUCAUGGUUUUGUUUAUAGAUAUAGUGGAGGAACCUUCCCCAACUGUCAAUACACCCACAAUUCUCCAUUUCCAGACAGCCUUAAAGUAAAAUGUGAAAAUGGUGUGCCUGUGCACUUGUUUGGUCGAAAGCAAGAAUGUUAAGAUGAACAUUGAUCACAUGUUUGAUUUUCGGUCUGUUUAAGUUUGGUAAACAAUGCAGAAAAUAAUCAAGCACAGCUGAAAUGCAUCACUUUCUCACAUUUAUGGAUCUUUUUUUUACCACUUUCCAUUGUCUCCAUGAUUUUGCUGUUUCAACCUGAUCUGUGUUUUAUUUUAUGUACGGAUCUAAUGUUAGAGUUUCUUUCUUUUUUUUUGUCUCAUCUGAUUUCUUCUUAAAAAUCCAUUAUUUGUUGUUUUGUGUUGAUUAUAAAAGUGUCAAUGACAAGUUUGGGGACAAACAACAAUUUAAAAAGAAGUUAAUCAACAUUGUUCAUUCAUUUAGUUAUAUACAUUAAAGGUAUUGUGACAUAAUUUUUAACAUGCUUUUAACACUAUUAAAAGUCUUGGCCAAUAUCCCUCAAAUGUGUCUAAAAGGGUGUAACAAGAAAAACUUCACUGCAGUACUCCAUGCCUGGCUUUAUUAUGACGGUGUUUUUUGCGCAGUGAAAAACGCGUCCUUUUCCCCCUUUCCUGUCAAUCAUUGCCCCCAUCAUAACUUGAUGGAUCAGACCUAGAAACAUGUAGGGUCUCAGAAAGAAGCAUUGAGCCUCCCCGUCCAAGAGGCGACACCAAUGGCUGCUUAUCAAACUGUCUUUGCACGCGAGGACCAAUCAGAGCAACAACAAGGUGACGUAUUCAGAGUGUGUUGUGUGGAGGAGUACAUUAAAAGUUUUCCGUAGCCUUGGGCCGCUCGGUGGUGCAGUGGGUUAAGCAGCAGCUCAUAUACUGAGGCUACAGGCCUCCUGCAGCGGUCGCAGGUUCAAAUCCCGGCCUGUGCACCUUUGCUGCGUGUCAUCCCCGAUCUCUCUCUCUACCCCUUUCAUAUCUGCAGCUUGAAUAAAGGGCCACUAGAGCCCAAAAAAAUCUUAAAAAAAAAAAAAAAAAAGUUUUCCGUAGCCUGUCUGCAAAA